GUUGGCAAAUGCUGCAGCCAUGAAGAUAAAUCCACUCUUUUUGACUAUUUGGGUGAAUGCUCCAAAUAGCAUGGCACAUACCAGCCUCAUAUUUGUCCUACAGAGAGCAGAAGGAGCAAAGGCAAAACAAUGAGAAGAGUGAUAAAGAAAAGACCAAGAUGAAGGAAGAGUGAAGCCGACUAAAUUUUCUUUCCCCUUUUGCAGGUCAAGGAUGUUCAUGUGUUUAUUCUGAGCUGGGAAAAGAAAGAAGCUUUAAAUUGAA